rnacentral:rRNA from 1 species
CUCUUAGAUGUUCUGGGCCGCACGCGUGCUACACUGAGUGGAUCAGCGGGUCAGGUUGCGCGAAAGCGUUUCCUAAUCUUUAAAUCCGCUCGUGAUGGGGAUUGACGGUUGCAAUUUUCUGUCAUGAACGAGGAAUACCUUGUAAGCGCGGGUCAUCAUCCCGCGCUGAAUACGUCCCUGCCCUUUGUACACACCGCCCGUCGCUCCUACCGAUUGAGUGGUCCGGUGAGGCUUUGGGAUCUAAGCGAAAAGAGCGUUUCGCUCCUUUUGCUGGGAGAACUCAGUCGAACCUUAUCAUUUAGAGGAAGGAGAAGUCGUAACA